rnacentral:lncRNA from 1 species
UUAUAGUAACAGAGAUAUUUGAAUACCAAAAGCAAAAGUAGUUCAACAUUAAGCUAAAAUAUUCUUCUAAUACAUAAAGAGACUAGAGUACUUGGUAAAAUUCACAUAAGGAUUACUAGACUUCACAAAAGCAUAACUUCUAAUUCCACGUAGGGAUAGACUACUAGAAAGUUCACAUAAACUAAGGGCUGAGUUGAGUGUUGUUGAAGCUGCCAUCUUCAUCACUAUAAUGUCCAUCCAUGCUUCCUCCAUCAUCAUCCAUAUUUCCUGCUUCAUCAUCCAUGUUCUGCCCAUUCUCAUUUCCUUCAUCAUCUUCCAUAUCAUGUCCAUUUUCAGUUCCAUCCUCCUGGGUAUCCU